rnacentral:misc_RNA from 1 species
AUGAGUCCCAUGGUGAUCCAUGGAACUUCGACGGGUUGUCUGAAUGUGAAUUUAUUCAUCUUUCCUGCUUUUAUGAGUAUUGAUGGAUCACUUGAGCGCAUACAUUGGGGUUCAUCAUGUUGGCUUUUGGGGGUUUGGUUGUAAAUUGAAGUUGAGGCAGUCCAUUCUUUCAGUUUAUGAAUCUAGCUGGAGUUCUGAUCAGACUGCUUCGUAACUGCUGCCGUAUUGUAGGUGAAGUUUAU